rnacentral:rRNA from 1 species
UACGAAGGGGGCUAGCGUUGCUCGGAAUCACUGGGCGUAAAGCGCACGUAGGCGGCUUCUUAAGUCAGGGGUGAAAUCCUGGAGCUCAACUCCAGAACUGCCUUUGAUACUGAGAGGCUUGAGUCCGGGAGAGGUGAGUGGAACUGCGAGUGUAGAGGUGAAAUUCGUAGAUAUGUGGAGGAACACCAGUGGCGAAGGCGACUCUCUGGGCUGUAACUGACGCUGAGGCGCGAAAGCGUGGGGAGCAAACAGG